GUUCUCUUGCAUCGCUUGCUCCAGGGGAAGCCAUCUGCCAUGCUGGAGGACACCCAAGCAGCAAUGUGCAGAGGCCCACGUGGAGAGAAACUGAGCCUUCCUAGUCACAGCCACCAACUUGCCACCCAGGAACAAAAAAAGGUGGUCCUUUCACCCUCUCUUCCUGCUUCCUGCUGCCUGAGACAGAGAUGUGAUGAUCGGAGCUAUCGGAGGCAUCUCAGACUUGGAGGUGACCUUGAAGCCGUGUGCUGAGGAGGUGGAGCAGAUCGACAUCUUGAUGACGCCAUUGAGCCACCAUGUCAAUAGUGGCCUGGCCUACUUCCAGAUGUUUUGUUUUUUUUACCUGGGAGAAAAAUAAACUUCUAUCUUACGUAAGCC
rnacentral:lncRNA from 1 species